UCCGUAGGCGGGCAGCUCAGUCAGUGGUGAAAGUUUGCAGCUCAACUGUAAAAUUGCCAUUGAUACUGGUUGUCUUGAAUUAAUGUGAAGUGGUUAGAAUAUGUAGUGUAGCGGUGAAAUGCAUAGAUAUUACAUAGAAUACCAAUUGCGAAGGCAGAUCACUAACAUUAUAUUGACGCUGAUGGACGAAAGCGUGGAGCGAACAGGAUUAGAUACCCUGGUAGUCC
rnacentral:rRNA from 1 species